UGCGAUAAGCGCCGGUAAGGUGAUAUGAACCGUUAUAACCGGCGAUUUCCGAAUGGGGAAACCCAGUGUGACUCGUCACACUAUCAUUAACUGAAUCCAUAGGUUAAUGAGGCGAACCGGGGGAACUGAAACAUCUAAGUACCCCGAGGAAAAGAAAUCAACCGAGAUUCCCCCAGUAGCGGCGAGCGAACGGGGAGGAGCCCAGAGCCUGAAUCAGCAUGUGUGUUAGUGGAAGCGUCUGGAAAGGCGCGCGAUACAGGGUGACAGCCCCGUACACAAAAGCGCAUGUGCUGUGAGCUCGAUGAGUAGGGCGGGACACGUGGUAUCCUGUCUGAAUAUGGGGGGACCAUCCUCCAAGGCUAAAUACUCCUGACUGACCGAUAGUGAACCAGUACCGUGAGGGAAAGGCGAAAAGAACCCCGGCGAGGGGAGUGAAAAAGAACCUGAAACCGUGUACGUACAAGCAGUGGGAGCCCCACCACUAAGCCAGUGGUGAACUCCACAUACGCAUCCUUUGCUGAGGAUACGGUUAACGGAGCGAAAGCGACGUUCAACCUCAAAAGAAGCAGAGGGGGCUUAGUGGUGGGGUGACUGCGUACCUUUUGUAUAAUGGGUCAGCGACUUAUAUUCUGUAGCAAGGUUAACCGUAUAGGGGAGCCGCAGGGAAACCGAGUCUUAACCGGGCGUUAAGUUGCAGGGUAUAGACCCGAAACCCGGUGAUCUAGCCAUGGGCAGGUUGAAGGUUGGGUAACACUAACUGGAGGACCGAACCGACUAAUGUUGAAAAAUUAGCGGAUGACCUGUGGCUGGGGGUGAAAGGCCAAUCAAACCGGGAGAUAGCUGGUUCUCCCCGAAAGCUAUUUAGGUAGCGCCUCGUGAACUCAUCUCCGGGGGUAGAGCACUGUUUCGGCUAGGGGGCCAUCCCGGCUUACCAACCCGAUGCAAACUGCGAAUACCGGAGAAUGUUAUCACGGGAGACACACGGCGGGUGCUAACGUCCGUCGUGAAGAGGGAAACAACCCAGACCGCCAGCUAAGGUCCCAAAGUCAUGGUUAAGUGGGAAACGAUGUGGGAAGGCCCAGACAGCCAGGAUGUUGGCUUAGAAGCAGCCAUCAUUUAAAGAAAGCGUAAUAGCUCACUGGUCGAGUCGGCCUGCGCGGAAGAUGUAACGGGGCUAAACCAU
rnacentral:rRNA from 1 species